ensembl:lncRNA
CGCCAUGACCGGAGAGCAUGUAUAUGACCGCCAUGACCGCCAUGACUCUCUCUCUCGCCAUGCACGCCAUGCACGCCAUAACCGCCAUGACCACAAUAACCGCCAUGACCGCCAUGCACACUAUGCACGCCAUGACCGCCGUAACCGCCAUGACCACCAUGACCGCCAUGACCGCCAUGCUUGCCAUGCACGCCAUAACCAUCAUCACCACAAUAACCGCCAUGACCGCCAUGCACACUAUGCACGGCAUAACCACCAUGACCACAAUAACCGUGACCACCGCCAUACACACCAUGACCGCCAUGCACACUAUGCACGGCAUAACCACCAUGACCACAAUAACCGCCAUGACCGCCAUACACACCAUGACCGCCAUGCACACUAUGCACGCCAUAACCGCCAUGACCACAAUAACCGCCAUGACCGCCAUGCACACUAUGCACGCCAUAACCGCCAUGACCACCAUGCACGCCAUGCACACCAUGACGCCGUGAUCACUCAUAACCACGUUUCAUAGACUUACUGAAGAGCAAACUUCUGCUCACUGCUCUUCUGACCAAGGUGACGGUGACUGUUUGUUGGUACGAAGACCUGACACCUUCAUCUGGGGUCUUUGUGUUGUGCCGACCCAGUGACCCUCCGACCCCUCGCCACACCCUAAAGUCUUUGAAAAGAGGCGCGUCUCUUCCCUCCCUGUUCCUGUGCUGCUCUUUGUCUCCGGACUCGUCUUCUCGUGACGGCGUCCUCGUCAACACACAAACCUUCCGUCCGCUCGCUUCCUGCUGAGAAUCCUUCAGGAUGUGCACCUUUUGAGAAUAAAGCUUUCACACAGUCGGCAGAAAGGCCCUUGAGCUCACGCAGGUAUUCAUUUGCGGCGAUUACCUGCAGCUUCACAGGACCUGCAGCAGUCUCAGCGGGGGGGUGGAGGGGGGGACUAUUUGUCUCCUCUUUUGUCCCUUCCUUUUAUGGCUGAGGGCUCCCCUCCCUCAGAGCUUAAUGAGAUGUUUACAUGGAGCCGGCUGUGGGAACCGGGGCCCAUAUGCCGCUGUGUGAGAUGACAGGGACCUGCUUUGUUUCUAUGGCCUUGUGAAGAGGUCUUAGUGCUGAAAUCAGAGCCCCCGGCCUCCUUCCACCUGCAGCCUGGGGCGGGACGUCCGCCACCACAUCUGCUGUCACUCAAAGAGAGGCGCUUAUUCUUUUCCUCCCUCGAGCAUCCAGGCAACUGCUGUCGUAAGAGUAAAAGGGAAGAAGGUCGAUCUGUUUCUCUUCCUCUAGUAGUCCGAGCCGCAGACAGGUAAACAGGCAGACAGGUAAACAGGCGGACAGGUAAACAGGCAGACAGGUAAACAGACAAACAGGUAAACAGACAAACAGGUAAACAGGCAGACAGGUAAACAGGCAGACAGGUAAACACAAACAGGUAAACAGGCAGACAGGUAAACAGGCGGACAGGUAAACAGGCGGACAGGUAAACAGGUACACAGGUAAACAGGCAGACAGGUACACAGGCAGACAGGUAAACGGACAGACAGGUAAACAGGCAGACAGGUAAACGGACAGACAGGUAAACAAGUAAACAGGUACACAGGCAGAGAGGCAGAAAGGUAAACAGGCAGACAGGUAAACAGGCAGACAGACAGAAAGGUAAACAGGCAGACAGGUAAACGGGCAGACAGGCAGACAGGUAAACAGGCAGAGAGGUACACAGACAGGUAAACAGACAAACAGGCAGACAGGUAAACAGGCAGACAGGUAAACAGGCAGACAGGUAAACAGACAGACAGGUAAACAGGCAGACAGGUAAACAGGCAGACAGGUAAACAGACAGACAGGUAAACAGACAGACAGGUAAACAGGCAGACAGGUAAACAGACAGACAGGUAAACAGGCAGACAGGCAGAGAGAAGCAGGUCUAAAUGUGCCCCCACUGCUGAUAAAGGCCGUAAACCUGCUGUUAUCAGACAGGCACCUUAGAGCUUCUGCACCUGCUGCUGCAGCUCACACAGUGACCUCCACUAAGAGGAGCCCGACACACACCUGUCCCACCUGUCCACCCUGUCCACCCUGGAUGUCUCGUCGUCUGAGGUUAAACAUUUGCCUUUUUCCACAACCCUGUAUCGUGAUGUUGUAAACCGGGAAACCCCCCUCAGACCCCCUCAGCAUGUCGAUGAUUUACUUCCUUAAAUGUCUCUUUCAAACUUCUCAAAUCUCAAACCGGUUUGAUCAAAGUUCUGCGUAUGGAAACAAAGUGAAGAUGCGAGUGUGAAAUGGUGGAUUGACCACAUCUCUAAUCUGAUAAUAACUAAAUAUCCCAUUUGAAUAAAUGAAGACUAACGGAAGAGAACUUAAAAGGGAUUAAAAGUAGAACCGGGUUCAUUUGCUGCAUCAGUGGAAUCGGGAGGAUUGUUAGAAAAACCCUCAAAUGAUUUGACUUUUCACGCGUUUUACAAACAGGUGAAGUGUCUUCACACGUCUCCCUCCUCCAUCUUUGACCCGACUCAAUCAAACCAAAAGACCUCUUCUCCUCUGGUCCUCACAGCUUCCGUCCACGUGUCUCCAGAGCACAGACCUCGUCCCUCGGAUGAAUCCACUCGCACCUGCAGUCUGAACGUCGGCAGAAUAAAAAUAAUUGUAUUGCAAUGUGAGGAAUUUCCACAUGUUGCCUUAGAAAUGGGAACACGUGUGUGUGAUUGAGACACACACACACACACACACACACACACACACACACACGUAGGAGGAAUGCCUGAUCCGACGCUUCACUCUUGCGCCGAUGAUAAGUGUACUCGGUAUGUGCGGAGGCGGAGCCGGGCUCCCCGUCUGUCAGCGCGCUGUCAGCUGAUCAAACGGCGUUUCCUCUGAAGGUGUGAGGACAGAGGACAGAGGACAGAGGAGGUCAGCUAAAUCCUCUUUCCCCUUUGUCUCCCCGCAGGAGCUCAGCUGGCUGCGCGCUCCACCGGGCCGAGACGCCUGAAGGGGAGCGAGGAGCCGCCUCACCUGGAGCCCCUCUCAGGUCACCUUCACUCCGCCCGCUGACCCGUUACUGUGACACCACAGACCAUUGAUUAUGGUGCUUUGGUCCCCGCGAAGGAACGCUGAGUUCUCGUCUUCCCUCGUGACGCUUUCGGACCCAACGAGGUCACAAACGCGUCGCAUUGUCGCACAAAAUCACCUGACACAACCUGACCCCCCCCCCCCAAGGUGACCCCAUCGCAGCUUUUAGGAAUUCAAAGGGGUGAAUCAGAUGCCACACCGUCACCGUCCGCCUGCCCUCGAGCAAGGGAGAAUGUGUCAGGGCUCCGCCCCCCCCUGGUCUGCAGAGCAAAGACGCCGUGAGAAAACGAGGGUCCGAUGGCCAAAA